rnacentral:rRNA from 1 species
UAGCUAGUUGGUGAGGUAACGGCUUACCAAGGCGACGAUCUGUAGCGGGUCUGAGAGGAUGAUCCGCCACACUGGAACUGAGACACGGUCCAGACUCCUACGGGAGGCAGCAGUGGGGAAUUUUGGACAAUGGGGGCAACCCUGAUCCAGCCAUGCCGCGUGAGUGAAGAAGGCCUUCGGGUUGUAAAGCUCUUUCGGCCGGGAAGAAAUCGCAUGGGCCAAUACCCUGUGUGGAUGACGGUACCGGAAUAAGAAGCACCGGCUAACUACGUGCCAGCAGCCGCGGUAAUACGUAGGGUGCGAGCGUUAAUCGGAAUUACUGGGCGUAAAGCGUGCGCAGGCGGUUUUGUAAGACAGGCGUGAAAUCCCCGGGCUCAACCUGGGAACUGCGUUUGUGACUGCAAGGCUAGAGUACGGCAGAGGGGGGUGGAAUUCCACGUGUAGCAGUGAAGUGCGUAGAGAUGUGGAGGAACACCAAUGGCGAAGGCAGCCCCCUGGGUCGAUACUGACGCUCAUGCACGAAAGCGUGGGUAGCAAACAGGAUUAGAUACCCUGGUAGUCCACGCCCUAAACUAUGUCAACUAGGUGUUGGGUGGGUAAAACCAUUUAGUACCGUAGCUAACGCGUGAAGUUGACCGCCUGGGGAGUACGGCCGCAAGGUUAAAACUCAAAGGAAUUGACGGGGACCCGCACAAGCGGUGGAUGAUGUGGAUUAAUUCGAUGCAACGCGAAAAACCUUACCUACCCUUGACAUGCCAGGAACUUGCCAGAGAUGGCUUGGUGCCCGAAAGGGAGCCUGGACACAGGUGCUGCAUGGCUGUCGUCAGCUCGUGUCGUGAGAUGUUGGGUUAAGUCCCGCAACGAGCGCAACCCUUGUCGUUAAUUGCCAUCAUUUAGUUGGGCACUUUAGCGAGACUGCCGGUGACAAACCGGAGGAAGGUGGGGAUGACGUCAAGUCCUCAUGGCCCUUAUGGGUAGGGCUUCACACGUCAUACAAUGGUCGGUACAGAGGGUCGCCAAGCCGCGAGGUGGAGCCAAUCCCAGAAAGCCGAUCGUAGUCCGGAUUGCAGGCUGCAACUCGCCUGCAUGAAGUCGGAAUCGCUAGUAAUCGUGGAUCAGCAUGUCACGGUGAAUACGUUCCCGGGUCUUGUACACACCGCCCGUCACACCAUGGGAGCGGGUUCCGCCAGAAGUAGGUAGCCUAACCGCAAGGAGGGCGCUUACCACGGCGGGGUUCGUGACUGGGGUGAAGUCGGAACAAGGUAGCCGUAGGGGUCCUGCGGCUG